GUUUGAUCCUGGCUCAGGACGAACGCUGGCGGCGUGCUUAACACAUGCAAGUCGAACGGACCGACAUGGAAGCUUGCUUCUAUGAAGGUUAGUGGCGAACGGGUGAGUAACGCGUAAUCAACCUGCCCAUCAGAGGGGGACAACAGUUGGAAACGACUGCUAAUACCGCAUACGAUCCAAUCUCGGCAUCGGGACUGGAUGAAAGGUGGCCUCUACUUGUAAGCUAUCACUGAUGGAGGGGAUUGCGUCUGAUUAGCUAGUUGGAGGGGUAACGGCCCACCAAGGCAAUGAUCAGUAGCCGGUCUGAGAGGAUGAACGGCCACAUUGGGACUGAGACACGGCCCAAACUCCUACGGGAGGCAGCAGUGGGGAAUCUUCCGCAAUGGACGAAAGUCUGACGGAGCAACGCCGCGUGAGUGAUGACGGCCUUCGGGUUGUAAAGCUCUGUUAAUCGGGACGAAUGGCUACCAUGCGAAUAGUUUGGGAGUUUGACGGUACCGGAAUAGAAGGCCACGGCUAACUACGUGCCAGCAGCCGCGGUAAUACGUAGGUGGCAAGCGUUGUCCGGAAUUAUUGGGCGUAAAGCGCGCGCAGGCGGAUCUGCCAGUCUGUCUUAAAAGUUCGGGGCUCAACCCCGUGAUGGAAACUACAGAUCUAGAGUAUCGGAGGGGAAAGUGGAAUUCCUAGUGUAGCGGUGAAAUGCGUAGAUAUUAGGAAGAACACCAGUGGCGAAGGCGACUUUCUGGACGAAAACUGACGCUGAGGCGCGAAAGCCAGGGGAGCGAACGGGAUUAGAUACCCCGGUAGUCCUGGCCGUAAACGAUGGGUACUAGGUGUAGGAGGUAUCGACCCCUUCUGUGCCGGAGUUAACGCAAUAAGUACCCCGCCUGGGGAGUACGACCGCAAGGUUGAAACUCAAAGGAAUUGACGGGGGCCCGCACAAGCGGUGGAGUAUGUGGUUUAAUUCGACGCAACGCGAAGAACCUUACCAGGUCUUGACAUUGAUGGACAGAACCAGAGAUGGUUCCUCUUCUUCGGAAGCCAGAAAACAGGUGGUGCACGGUUGUCGUCAGCUCGUGUCGUGAGAUGUUGGGUUAAGUCCCGCAACGAGCGCAACCCCUAUCUUAUGUUGCCAGCACUUUGGGUGGGACUCAUGAGAGACUGCCGCAGACAAUGCGGAGGAAGGCGGGGAUGACGUCAAAUCAUCAUGCCCCUUAUGACCUGGGCUACACACGUACUACAAUGGGAGUUAAUAGACGGAAGUGAGAUCGCGAGAUGGAGCAAACCCGAGAAACACUCUCUCAGUUCGGAUCGUAGGCUGCAACUCGCCUACGUGAAGUCGGAAUCGCUAGUAAUCGCAGGUCAGCAUACUGCGGUGAAUACGUUCCCGGGCCUUGUACACACCGCCCGUCACACCACGAAAGUCGGAAGUGCCCAAAGCCGGUGGGGUAACCUUCGGGAGCCAGCCGUCUAAGGUAAAGUCGAUGAUUGGGGUGAAGUCGUAACAAGGUAGCCG
rnacentral:rRNA from 1 species